CGGUGUAAAUGUCCCAGAUGGACAAGGAGGUAAUUCUAAAUGUUGAAGUUACGGUGUAAAUGUCCCAGAUGGACAAGGAGGUAAUUCUAAAUGUUGAAGUUAGCUGGACAAGGAGGUAAUUCUAAAUGUUGAAGUUAGGUGGACAAGG